rnacentral:tRNA from 1 species
UAAAAGGUAGACUAAAAAAGUCAAUAGACUCAUAAUUUAUCAAUAGGGCUUACCCCCUUCUUUUAA